rnacentral:rRNA from 1 species
UACAGAGGGUGCGAGCGUUAAUCGGAGUUACUGGGCGUAGAGGGCGCGUAGGCGGUGAUGCAAGUAAGAUGUGAAAUCCCUGGGCUUAACCUAGGAAUUGCAUUUUAGACUGUGUUGCUAGAGUGCAGUAGAGGGUAGUGGAAUUUCCGGUGUAGCGGUGAAAUGCGUAGAGAUCGGAAGGAACACCAGUGGCGAAGGCGACUACCUGGACCAUAACUGACGCUGAGGCGCGAAAGCUAGGGGAGCAAACAGG